rnacentral:lncRNA from 1 species
GGGAAAGUAUACAAUACAUAAUUAUGUGUUUUAGAUUAUUUUACCUUGAUUUUGUGGUGACUAUGUUUUGGUGUUGGACUGAACCCUACUGUAAAUAUAAAAUAAUAGUGUCGCUCAUAUGGGUUACGGUAUGGUGAUGACCGGUUAGUUAUGGCCUUCAUACGGAUUUGGGUAUGAGAAUAAUUGGUGUUUAUGGCGCCUACAUGGGUUGAGGUGUGAGGCGACUGAUAAUCGUUGUGCUCAUAUGGGUUAGGGUAUGAGUACGUUUAACGAUUUACCAUUGAUUUCGGAAAAGUUUUGAGUAUCCACAAGUAGUGGAGACCCUUUAAUGUGUUAAAUGAAAACUAAAUAUAUGAGUGACCCUAAAUAUCAAACGAAGGAUAAAGGUGAAAUUAAUUUGAUUCAUAA